rnacentral:rRNA from 1 species
UGGGGAAUAUUGGACAAUGGGCGCAAGCCUGAUCCAGCCAUGCCGCGUGUGUGAAGAAGGCCUUUUGGUUGUAAAGCACUUUAAGCGAGGAGGAGGCGACUUGGAUUAAUACUCUAAGAUAGUGGACGUUACUCGCAGAAUAAGCACCGGCUAACUCUGUGCCAGCAGCCGCGGUAAUACAGAGGGUGCGAGCGUUAAUCGGAUUUACUGGGCGUAAAGCGUGCGUAGGCGGCUUCUUAAGUCGGAUGUGAAAUCCCUGAGCUUAACUUAGGAAUUGCAUUCGAUACUGGGAAGCUAGAGUAUGGGAGAGGAUGGUAGAAUUCCAGGUGUAGCGGUGAAAUGCGUAGAGAUCUGGAGGAAUACCGAUGGCGAAGGCAGCCAUCUGGCCUAAUACUGACGCUGAGGUACGAAAGCAUGGGGAGCAAACGGG